rnacentral:rRNA from 1 species
UACGUAGGGUGCGAGCGUUGUCCGGAAUUAUUGGGCGUAAAGAGCUUGUAGGCGGUCUGUCGCGUCUGCUGUGAAGAUCCGGGGCUCAACCCCGGACUUGCAGUGGGUACGGGCAGACUAGAGUGUGGUAGGGGAGACUGGAAUUCCUGGUGUAGCGGUGAAAUGCGCAGAUAUCAGGAGGAACACCGAUGGCGAAGGCAGGUCUCUGGGCCACUACUGACGCUGAGAAGCGAAAGCAUGGGGAGCGAACAGG